GAUGAUGACAAGGAACGAUGUGAAGGAUAUACUUAAGGAGCAUGAUAGUAUUGGAGAUCUGGAUAGACCUGAAGAGGAGGAGUGAGCACAAGCAAAAGUCCAAAAAUUAAUUGCUGUAUUUUGGUAUCUGUUCCACAAAGCAUCAGUUGUGGACAAUGUUCUGUCAUCGGAUGCUUGUGGAUGUUAACAUGAUUUAUGGCUUUGAGUUUUAACAUGUUAAGACAUAAUAGCAAAUUUUAAGCAGUUCUUUUUCUUUUGUUGUAACUUAAUGGCAUAUUAUUUUUGAGAAGUCAAUGCAUUGUCUUAGAAUUCAUAUA